rnacentral:rRNA from 1 species
GAUUAACGCUGGCGGCGUGCAUAACACAUGCAAGUCGAACGAUGAAACUUAACUGAUUUCUUCGGAAUGAUUUUAAGUGGAUUAGUGGCGGACGGGUGAGUAACGCGUGAGUAACCUGCCUUGGAGAAGGGGAUAGCCUUUGGAAACGAAGAAUAAUACCCUAUGAUAUGAUAAUAUCUCAUGAUAUUAUCAUCAAAGAUUUAUCGCUCUAAGAUGGACUUGCGUCUGAUUAGUUAGUUGGUGAGGUAACAGCUCACCAAGGCAGCGAUCAGUAGCCGGCUUGAGAGAGUGUACGGCCACAUUGGGACUGGGACACGGCCCAGACUCCUACGGGAGGCAGCAGUGGGGAAUUUUGCACAAUGGGGGAAACCCUGAUGCAGCGACGCCGCGUGAUUUAGAAGGCCUUCGGGUUGUAAAAAUCUUUUGUAUGGGAAGAAAAUGACAGUACCAUACGAAUAAGGACCGGCUAAUUACGUG